AUUGCCCUAGUAACGGCGAGUGAAGCGGCAACAGCUCAAAUUUGAAAUCUGGCUCUCGGGCCCGAGUUGUAAUUUGUAGAGGAUGCUUUUGGCAAGGUGCCUUCCGAGUUCCCUGGAACGGGACGCCAUAGAGGGUGAGAGCCCCGUCUGGUUGGACACCGAGCCUCUGUAAAGCUCCUUCGACGAGUCGAGUAGUUUGGGAAUGCUGCUCUAAAUGGGAGGUAUAUGUCUUCUAAAGCUAAAUACUGGCCAGAGACCGAUAGCGCACAAGUAGAGUGAUCGAAAGAUGAAAAGCACUUUGAAAAGAGAGUUAAAAAGCACGUGAAAUUGUUGAAAGGGAAGCGCUCAUGACCAGACUUGGGCUUGGUUGAUCAUCCGGCGUUCUCGCCGGUGCACUCUUCCAGUUCAGGCCAGCAUCAGUUUGCCCCGGGGGAUAAAAGCUUCGGGAAUGUGGCUCCUUCGGGAGUGUUAUAGCCCGUUGCAUAAUACCCUGAGGCAGACUGAGGACCGCGCUUCGUGCAAGGAUGCUGGCGUAAUGGUCAUCAGCGACCCGUCUUGAAACACGGACCAAGGAGUCGUCUUCGUAUGCGAGUGUUCGGGUGUCAAACCCCUACGCGUAAUGAAAGUGAACGCAGGUGAGAGCUUCGGCGCAUCAUCGACCGAUCCUGAUGUUCUCGGAUGGAUUUGAGUAAGAGCAUACGGGGCCGGACCCGAAAGAAGGUGAACUAUGCCUGUGUAGGGUGAAGCCAGAGGAAACUCUGGUGGAGGCUCGCAGCGGUUCUGACGUGCAAAUCGAUCGUCAAACAUGGGCAUGGGGGCGAAAGACUAAU
rnacentral:rRNA from 1 species